rnacentral:lncRNA from 1 species
GCUGUUGGUGAGUCUAUGAAUCUGGAGUCUGGAGAAUGGUGCCUCCAUAUUUAGGGACUCCAGCCCUAAAUUCUCCUUCUGUACUGCCCUAGUAAAAGUUUCCCAUGAGGCUCUGCCUCUUGGAAAAGAUUCUGUGUGAACACCCAGGUUUUUCCGUACAUACUCUGGAGUCUAGACAAAGGCUUGCAAGCGUCUAGUUUUGUGCUGUGUGCAGCUGCUGGCUUAACACUAUGUGGAAGCCACCAAGCCUUGAAGCUUGCACCCCUGAAGCAGUGAUGCAAGCUGUACCUGUGCAUCUUUCAGCCAAGGCUGGAGCUGGAGCUUCAGGAAUGCAGCCAACAGUGUCCUGAGGUUGGACAUAGCAGCGGGGCCAUGGGGCUGGAGAAGGAAACCAUUCUUUUCUCUCAGGCCUCAGGGCCUGUGAUAGCAAGGGCUGCUGCAAAAGUCUCUGAAAUGCCUUCAAGUCCUUUUUAAUAUUGUAUUGGCUAUUAGCACUGAACUCCUUUUUAUGCACAUUUCUGAAGACUUUUUGAACUUUCCCACUGAUAAUCAGCUUUCCUUUUUGGCCACUUGGCCAGGCUUCAAUUUCCAAACUUUUAAGCUCUCCUUCUCAUUUAAAUACAAGUUUCACUUUGAGGUCAUUUCUUUGGUCACACAUAGGAGCACAGGCUGUUC